UAGGGAAUCUUCGGCAAUGGGGGGAACCCUGACCGAGCAACGCCGCGUGAGUGAAGAAGGUUUUCGGAUCGUAAAGCUCUGUUGUUAAGGAAGAACGUGUGUGAGAGUGGAAGGUUCACACAGUGACGGUACUUAACCAGAAAGGGACGGCUAACUACGUGCCAGCAGCCGCGGUAAUACGUAGGUCCCGAGCGUUGUCCGGAUUUAUUGGGCGUAAAGCGAGCGCAGGCGGUUAGAUAAGUCUGAAGUGAAAGGCAGUGGCUCAACCAUUGUAGGCUUUGGAAACUGUUUAACUUGAGUGCAGAAGGGGAGAGUGGAAUUCCAUGUGUAGCGGUGAAACGCGUAGAUAUAUGGAGGAACACCGGUGGCGAAAGCGGCUCUCUGGUCUGUAACUGACGCUGAGGCUCGAAAGCGUGGGGAGCGAACAGGAUUAGAUACCCUGGUAGUCCACGCCGUAAACGAUGAGUGCUAGGUGUUAGGUCCUUUCCGGGACUUAGUGCCGCAGCUAACGCAUUAAGCACUCCGCCUGGGGAGUACGACCGCAAGGUUG
rnacentral:rRNA from 1 species